rnacentral:misc_RNA from 1 species
AAACUAUUUAAAAGUUAAUUUUAAACAAUUUUACCAAUAAUUAAUUAAUUAUUUGUAUAGUAAUUUACAAGUUAGAAAAUACAUUUUCAAGUCAAAAAGCUAAAAGUUAGUAGCCAAUCCACACACCCUCUUUGUUCCCUCUGUUUUUCCCCUUCUCAUGGUUGGUAUAGGCAUAUGUAUAAAAACAAUCAAAAUGCAUAUAUGAUCCUUAGCAGAUACAGUGUUUGCAUUUACCUCAAUUUUUAAAUGCUAGGUAAAUUUGUGAAAAUAAAAUAAAAUGAAACAAAACAAGAAUUUUAGGUCUCAAGCUUUAAUCUUUCGGAUUCCCCAGAAA